CCUACGGGAGGCAGCAGUGGGGAAUAUUGCACAAUGGGGGAAACCCUGAUGCAGCGACGCCGCGUGAGUGAAGAAGUACUUCGUUACGUAAAGCUCUAUCAGCAGGGAAGAAAAUGACGGUACCUGAGUACGAAGCCCCGGCUAACUACGUGCCAGCAGCCGCGGUCAUACGUAGGGGGCAAGCGUUAUCCGGAUUUACUGGGUGUAACGGGAGCGUAGACGGGGCGCCAAGUCUGGAGUGAAAUGCCGCAGCUUAACUGCGGAACUGCUGUGGAAACUGGCGAACUAGAGUGCGGGAGGGGUAAGCGGAAUGCCUGGUGUAGCGGUGAAAUGCGUAGAUAUUAGGAGGAACACCGGUGGCGAAGGCGGCUUACUGGACCGUAACUGACGUUGAGGCUCGAAAGCGUGGGGAGCAAACAGGAUUAGAUACCCGUGUAGUC
rnacentral:rRNA from 1 species